rnacentral:tRNA from 1 species
UUAAAAAUCGUGAGGGUUCAAGUCCCUCUAUCCCCAAAAAAGGACCAUUU